rnacentral:rRNA from 1 species
AUUGAACGCUGGCGGAAUGCUUUACACAUGCAAGUCGAACGGCAGCACGGGGGCAACCCUGGUGGCGAGUGGCGAACGGGUGAGUAAUGUAUCGGAACGUGCCCAGUCGUGGGGGAUAACGUAGUGAAAAUUACGCUAAUACCGCAUACGAUCUAUGGAUGAAAGCGGGGGAUCGCAAGACCUCGCGCGAUUGGGGCGGCCGAUAUCAGAUUAGGUAGUUGGUGGGGUAAAGGCUCACCAAGCCGACGAUCUGUAGCUGGUCUGAGAGGACGACCAGGCACACGGGAACUGAGACACGGUCCAGAAUCCGACGGGAGGCAGCAGUGGGGAAUUUUGGACAAUGGGCGAAAGCCUGAUCCAGCCAUUCCGCGUGCAGGAUGAAGGCCUUCGGGUUGUAAACUGCUUUUGUACGGAACGAAACGGCGAGCUCUAAUACAGUUUGCUAAUGACGGUACCGUAAGAAUAAGCACCGGCUAACUACGUGCCAGCAGCCGCAGUAA